rnacentral:rRNA from 1 species
AUUGAACGCUGGCGGCAGGCCUAACACAUGCAAGUCGAGCGGAGCGGCGGACGGGUGAGUAAUGCCUAGGAGUCUGCAUGGUAGUGGGGGAUAACGUACGGAAACGGGCGCUAAUACCGCAUACUAGCAGAUGAGCCUAGGUCGGAUUAGCUAGUUGGUGGGGUAAAGGCCUACAAAGGCUACGAUCCGUAACUGGUCUGAGAGGAUGAUCAGUAAAACGGGAACUGAGACACGGUCCAGCUUCUUACGGGGGGCAGCAUUGGGUAAUAUUGGACAAGGGGGGAAGGCCUGCUCCAGCAAUGCCGCGUGUGUGAAGAAGGUCUUCGGAUUGUAAAGCACUUUAAGUUGGGAGGCGUUACCAAAAGAAUAAGCACCGGCUAACUUCGUGCCAGCAGCCGCGGUAAUAC